AGAAUUUUUCUCAAUGGGCGCAAGCCUGAAGGAGCGACGCCGCGUGGAGGAUGAAGGCCUUCGGGUUGUAAACUCCUGUCAUUUGGGAACAAAAAACCCGCUUAACUGGCGGGGACUUGAUAGUACCAGAAGAGGAAGGGACGGCGAACUCGGUGCCAGCAGCCGCGGUAAUACAGAGGUCUCAACCGUUGUUCGGAUUCAUUGGGCGUAAAGGGUGCGUCGGCGGUCGCGCAAGUCGGAUGUGAAAUCUUAGGGCUCAACCCUGAAACUGCAUUCGAUACUGCGUGGCUCGAGUACUGGAGAGGAGACUGGAAUUUACGGUGUAGCAGUGAAAUGCGUAGAUAUCGUAAGGAAGACCAGUGGCGAAGGCGAGUCUCUGGACAGUUACUGACGCUGAGGCACGAAGGCCAGGGGAGCAAA
rnacentral:rRNA from 1 species